rnacentral:rRNA from 1 species
UACGUAGGGGGCAAGCGUUGUCCGGAUUCAUUGGGCGUAAAGAGCGUGUAGGCGGCCAGGUAGGUCGGUUGUGAAAACUGGAGGCUCAACCUUCAGAGGUCGACCGAAACCAUCUGGCUAGAGUGCGGAAGAGGCGAGUGGAAUCCCCGGUGUAGCGGUGAAAUGCGCAGAUAUCGGGAGGAACACCAAUUGCGAAGGCAGCUCGCUGGGACGUUACUGACGCUGAGACGCGAAAGCGUGGGGAGCAAACAGGG